rnacentral:rRNA from 1 species
AUUAGGUUAAGUUAUUAAGGGCGUAUGGUGGAUGCCUUGGCACUAGGAGCCGAUGNAAUAUUAGGUUAAGUUAUUAAGGGCGUAUGGUGGAUGCCUUGGCACUAGGAGCCGAUGAAGGACGUGACUAACUGCGAUAUGCUUCGGGGAGUUGUAAGUAAACUAUGAUCCGGAGAUUUCCGAAUGGGGAAACCUAACAGGUUUUACCGCCUGUUAUCACUAAGUGAAUUCAUAGCUUAGUUGAAGGUAGACGUGGGGAACUGAAACAUCUAAGUACCCACAGGAA